UCCAGGGUAGCCUAGUGGAUAUGGCAUCUGCCCGGUAAGCGGAACAUUGUGGGUUCGAUUCCCUUCCCUGGAC
rnacentral:tRNA from 1 species